UCCGGAGGAUGCGAGCGUUAUCCGGAUUUAUUGGGUUUAAAGGGUGCGCAGGCGGCACGGCAAGCCGGCGGUCAAAUCGCGGGGCUCAACCCCGCCCAGCCGUCGGAACUGCCGGGCUAGAGUGGGCGAGAAGUGCGCGGAAUGCGUGGUGUAGCGGUGAAAUGCAUAGAUAUCACGCAGAACUCCGAUUGCGAAGGCAGCGCACCGGCGCCCUACUGACGCUCAGGCACGAAAGCGUGGGUAUCGAACAGG
rnacentral:rRNA from 1 species